UACGUAGGGUGCAAGCGUUAAUCGGAAUUACUGGGCGUAAAGCGUGCGCAGGCGGUUAUGCAAGACAGAUGUGAAAUCCCCGGGCUCAACCUGGGAACUGCAUUUGUGACUGCAUGGCUAGAGUACGGUAGAGGGGGAUGGAAUUCCGCGUGUAGCAGUGAAAUGCGUAGAGAUGUGGAGGAACACCGAUGGCGAAGGCAGCCCCCUGGGUCAACACUGACGCUCAUGCACGAAAGCGUGGGGAGCAAACAGG
rnacentral:rRNA from 1 species